rnacentral:rRNA from 1 species
GUUACAGCCGGCGAUGUCCGAAUGGGGAAACCCAGUGCAAUUCGUUGCACUAUCGUUAACUGAAUACAUAGGUUAACGAGGCGAACCGGGGGAACUGAAACAUCUAAGUACCCCGAGGAAAAGAAAUCAACCGAGAUUCCCCCAGUAGCGGCGAGCGAACGGGGAGCAGCCCAGAGUCUGAAUCAGCUUGUGUGUUAGUGGAACGGUCUGGAAAGUCCGACGGUACAGGGUGAUAGUCCCGUACACCAAAAUGCACAGGCUGUGAACUCGAAGAGUAGGGCGGGACACGUGGUAUCCUGUCUGAAUAUGGGGGGACCAUCCUCCAAGGCUAAAUACUCCUGACUGACCGAUAGUGAACCAGUACCGUGAGGGAAAGGCGAAAAGAACCCCGGCGAGGGGAGUGAAAAAGAACCUGAAACCGUGUACGUACAAGCAGUGGGAGCACCUUCGGGUGUGACUGCGUACCUUUUGUAUAAUGGGUCAGCGACUUAUAUUCUGUAGCAAGGUUAACCGUAUAGGGGAGCCGCAGGGAAACCGAGUCUUAACUGGGCGUUAAGUUGCAGGGUAUAGACCCGAAACCCGGUGAUCUAGCCAUGGGCAGGUUGAAGGUUGGGUAACACUAACUGGAGGACCGAACCGACUAAUGUUGAAAAAUUAGCGGAUGACUUGUGGCUGGGGGUGAAAGGCCAAUCAAACCGGGAGAUAGCUGGUUCUCCCCGAAAGCUAUUUAGGUAGCGCCUCGUGAACUCAUCUUCGGGGGUAGAGCACUGUUUCGGCUAGGGGGUCAUCCCGACUUACCAACCCGAUGCAAACUACGAAUACCGAAGAAUGUUAUCACGGGAGACACACGGCGGGUGCUAACGUCCGUCGUGAAGAGGGAAACAACCCAGACCGCCAGCUAAGGUCCCAAAGUCAUGGUUAAGUGGGAAACGAUGUGGGAAGGCACAGACAGCCAGGAUGUUGGCUUAGAAGCAGCCAUCAUUUAAAGAAAGCGUAAUAGCUCACUGGUCGAGUCGGCCUGCGCGGAAGAUGUAACGGGGCUAAACCAUGCACCGAAGCUGCGGCAGCGACACUAUGUGUUGUUGGGUAGGGGAGCGUUCUGUAAGCCUGCGAAGGUGUGCUGUGAGGCAUGCUGGAGGUAUCAGAAGUGCGAAUGCUGACAUAAGUAACGAUAAAGCGGGUGAAAAGCCCGCUCGCCGGAAGACCAAGGGUUCCUGUCCAACGUUAAUCGGGGCAGGGUGAGUCGACCCCUAAGGCGAGGCCGAAAGGCGUAGUCGAUGGGAAACAGGUUAAUAUUCCUGUACUUGGUGUUACUGCGAAGGGGGGACGGAGAAGGCUAUGUUAGCCGGGCGACGGUUGUCCCGGUUUAAGCAUGUAGGCUGGUUAUCCAGGCAAAUCCGGAUAAUCAAGGCUGAGGUGUGAUGACGAGGCACUACGGUGCUGAAGUAACAAAUGCCCUGCUUCCAGGAAAAGCCUCUAAGCAUCAGGUAACAUCAAAUCGUACCCCAAACCGACACAGGUGGUCAGGUAGAGAAUACCAAGGCGCUUGAGAGAACUCGGGUGAAGGAACUAGGCAAAAUGGUGCCGUAACUUCGGGAGAAGGCACGCUGGUGUGUAGGUGAAGUCCCUGCGGAUGGAGCUGAGACCAGUCGAAGAUACCAGCUGGCUGCAACUGUUUAUUAAAAACACAGCACUGUGCAAACACGAAAGUGGACGUAUACGGUGUGACGCCUGCCCGGUGCCGGAAGGUUAAUUGAUGGGGUUAUCCGUAAGGAGAAGCUCUUGAUCGAAGCCCCGGUAAACGGCGGCCGUAACUAUAACGGUCCUAAGGUAGCGAAAUUCCUUGUCGGGUAAGUUCCGACCUGCACGAAUGGCGUAAUGAUGGCCAGGCUGUCUCCACCCGAGACUCAGUGAAAUUGAACUCGCUGUGAAGAUGCAGUGUACCCGCGGCAAGACGGAAAGACCCCGUGAACCUUUACUAUAGCUUGACACUGAACAUUGAGCCUUGAUGUGUAGGAUAGGUGGGAGGCUUUGAAGCGUGGACGCCAGUCUGCGUGGAGCCAACCUUGAAAUACCACCCUUUAAUGUUUGAUGUUCUAACGUUGGCCCCUGACCGGGGUUGCGGACAGUGUCUGGUGGGUAGUUUGACUGGGGCGGUCUCCUCCCAAAGCGUAACGGAGGAGCACGAAGGUUAGCUAAUCCUGGUCGGACAUCAGGAGGUUAGUGCAAUGGCAUAAGCUAGCUUGACUGCGAGCGUGACGGCGCGAGCAGGUGCGAAAGCAGGUCAUAGUGAUCCGGUGGUUCUGAAUGGAAGGGCCAUCGCUCAACGGAUAAAAGGUACUCCGGGGAUAACAGGCUGAUACCGCCCAAGAGUUCAUAUCGACGGCGGUGUUUGGCACCUCGAUGUCGGCUCAUCACAUCCUGGGGCUGAAGUAGGUCCCAAGGGUAUGGCUGUUCGCCAUUUAAAGUGGUACGCGAGCUGGGUUUAGAACGUCGUGAGACAGUUCGGUCCCUAUCUGCCGUGGGCGCUGGAGAAUUGAGGGGGGCUGCUCCUAGUACGAGAGGACCGGAGUGGACGCAUCACUGGUGUUCGGGUUGUCAUGCCAAUGGCACUGCCCGGUAGCUAAAUGCGGAAGAGAUAAGUGCUGAAAGCAUCUAAGCACGAAACUUGCCCCGAGAUGAGUUCUCCCUGAGACUAUAAGUCUCCUGAAGGAACGUUAAAGACGAUGACGUUGAUAGGCCGGGUGUGUAAGCGCAGCGAUGCGUUGAGCUAACCGGUACUAAUGAACCGUGAGGCUUAACCUU